UACGAAGGGUGCAAGCGUUGUUCGGAUUUACUGGGCGUAAAGAGUUCGUAGGCGGAAUAAUAAGUUAAUGGUAAAAUCCUUGGGCUUAACCCAAGACUCGCCAUUAAAACUGUUGUUCUUGAGUUUUGGAGAGGGUAAUGGAAUUGCUGGUGUAGGAGUAACAUCCGUAGAUAUCAGCAGGAACGCCGGAAGCGAAAGCGAUUACCUGGCCAAACACUGACGCUGAGGAACGAAAGCGUGGGGAGCAAACAGG
rnacentral:rRNA from 1 species